rnacentral:rRNA from 1 species
GACGAACGCUGGCGGCGCGCUUAACACAUGCAAGUCGAACGGAAAGGCCUGCUUUCCCUUGUGGAUUGCGGGUACUCGAGUGGCGAACGGGUGAGUAACACGUGAGUGAUCUGCCCCCAACUUGGGUAUAAGCCUGGGAAACUGGGUCUAAUUCCCGAUAGGACUGCAGGGUGGUGCCUGUGGUGGAAAACGAUUUUCUAGUGGUUGGGGAUGAGCUCGCGGCCUAUCAGCUUGUUGGUGGGGUAAUGGCCUGCCAAGGCGGCGACGGGUAGCCGGCCUGAGAGGGUGGACGGCGACAUUGGGACUGAGAUACGGCCCAGACUCCUACGGGAGGCAGCAGUGGGGAAUAGUGCACAAUGGGCGGAAGCCUGAUGCAGCGACGCCGCGUGGGGGAUGACGGCCUUCGGGUUGUAAACUCCUUUCGACCGCGAGGAAGCCACCUGGUUGGAAGGGUGGUGACGGUAGUGGUAGAAGAAGCACCGGCUAACUACGUG